AUUGAACGCUGGCGGCAGGCCUAACACAUGCAAGUCGAACGAGUGGCGGACGGGUGAGUAAUGUCUGGGAAACUGCCUGAUGGAGGGGGAUAACUACUGGAAACGGUCGCUAAUACCGCAUACCAUCAGAUGUGCCCAGAUGGGAUUAGCUAGUUGGUGGGGUAACGGCUCACCAAGGCGACGAUCCCUAGCUGGUCGGAGAGGAUGACCGGCCACACGGGAACUGAGACACGGUCAAGACUCCUACGGGAGUAAGCAGUGGGGAAUAUUGCAAAAUGGGGGCAAGCCUGAUGCAGCCAUGCCGCGUGUAUGAAGAAGGCGUUCGGGUUGAAAAGUACUUUCAGCGGGGAGGCGGUACCCGAAGAAGAAGCAACGGCUAACUCCGUGCCAGCCGCCGCGGUAAUAC
rnacentral:rRNA from 1 species